AAAUGACAUAAGUGUGUAAAUGCCUAAGUCCCUGUAAGUACUGUACCUUAGUAAAUAUUCAGGUAGCACCAGGCUGUGGUUUAGGAUCUGGGGUUCAAUCUUCACUCAGUCUGUGUGGAGUUUGCCUGUUCUCCCCAUGUUCACAAUGUAAGUCACUUUGGAGAAAAGUGAGACAAAUGAGUAAAUAUUCACAAUCAUAUUUUCAAUAGGCAUUUUAGCCAGAAGGCCGCACCUGCGACUGGAAUCCAAGCGGACUUGGUGUGGACUCCACAAACACAGUGCCACUGAAGGUGGGAGGUUCGCGUCCCUUCUCCUGUGCCUCUGUAUAGACAUCUACGUCUUCAUAGGUCUUCCACAGCAGUUAUUCCUGACUAGUAUGAGUACCAGGGGGCCCCUGUUACUCUGAAACCCUCUUGUUCUUUUCACUCAUGAUAUUUUUGCAGUAAAUGUCCUCCACCCAGUCGCUGCCAUGUGGGUCGACAGUGUCGGACCAGCGUUUCCGUUCAGACAGCUGUCUGCGUCCCAUCACUUCUCCAUGGGCUCCGGCCACCAUUUCGCGCCCUCGGUUUCGCCGCCAAAAAGCCCGGGAGAAGCGCGAGAGCGUAGCCGGUCACGUGUGUCGGCGCACGCGGAAAUCCCUGGGCGCCAACGGGCCCUCAAGCUUUCUCAACAAUCUCCGUGGACUGCAUCCCAUCCAGGGUAUACUACCCCCAGCCUAGAGCUUGGUGAUUCUGGGAUAGGCUAUGGACCACUGCAACACCGAGAAGGACAACAGGUUAACGGAAAUGAGUGAGUGGCCCCUCCUGCCACCGUCUGUGCCAUCAUCUGCUGUCCGGUUGGGCUAUGACUCAGCACCCACCCCCUUCUCCUCAACCCCCGCAUCUCCCCUGGGAGAACAGGUGGAUUUCUGCUCAUUUGUAAAGGAGCCCCAAGUCCCCCGAACCGAAGCAUAACCCCCUAUUAUAGCAUUGCAGGAACAGUACCAGCUCAGCGCCAGAUGCUUUGCCACAGUCUUUCAGCUGACAUUGUUGCCUUCAAAGUUUUGCCCAUCGUGAAGAUUAUAGUCAUUUUGCCGCUCAGGAUUUGUGUGCAUUUUUAUUGGUGCCUCACUUCCAUGACGGCAGUGAAAAUAGCUACACCCAAAAUGUCACACAGGU
rnacentral:lncRNA from 1 species